GUGAAAUUGUUGAAAGGGAAACGCUUGAAACCAGUCAUGUGGUUGGAAAAUCAGUGUUCAAUUGGGGGGAAUGGGGGAGGUGUGGACCGCAAGGCUGCUCUUUUCUAUAUCUCUUUUGUCGGGCAUGCACUUUUUCUUCUGCAGGUCAACAUCAGUUUCUUUUGCUGGACAAAACUCUUGAGAAGGUAGCAGCUUAGGCUGUGUUAUAGCUCUGGAGCGAUACAGUGGAGGAGACUGAGGUUUUCGCAGCAUGUGCUCUCGGGCAAGGCCAGUUGGGUGCUAUGGGAUCGUUCGGGGUACAAUACAUGUAUUUUGCUUCGUGUCUUUUCUAUACUCGUUCAAUUGAGCUCUUCCAUGCUUAGGAUGUUGACUUAAUGGUUUUAAUCGACCCGUCUUGAAACACGGACCAAGGAGUCUAACAUAUAUGCAAGUGUUUGGGUGGCAAACCCAUGCGCGUAAUGAAAGUGAACGUAGGUGCCAUCCGCAAGGUGCAGCAUCGACCGAUCUUGAUAUUUUUGGAUAGAUUUGAGUAAGAGCAUAUAUGCUGGGACCCGAAAGAUGGUGAACUAUGCCUGAAUAGGGUGAAGCCAGAGGAAACUCUGGUGGAGGCUCGUAGCGAUUCUGACGUGCAAAUCCAUCGUCAAAUUUGGGUAUAGGGGCGAAAGACU
rnacentral:rRNA from 1 species